AUUCUGGUAUAUCCGCGGUCACACUGGCUCUAAUCAUCACAAGCUUGAAAUUUUUUAAUUUUUUAACUCAAAAUCUGAAAUUUUGCUAAAUAAAUAGCAAGAGAGAGGUUUUUCUGUGCAUUAAAAGCAGUAUUUCUUCAGUAACAUUGUCAGAAUUUCCACAAUGGAGAACAACGAAGCCCCCUCACCAUCCGGCUCCAACGCAAACGAUUUUCCUAUACUUCCGCCGCCGCCAAACGCCUACAACAACAACUUCGCCGAUACGAACAAUAGCAACAACAAUGCCGCCGCCCAGAAGCGCCUGCAGCAGACACAGGCCAAAGUGGACGAGGUGGUGGGCAUAAUGCGCGUCAACGUGGAGAAAGUGCUGGAGCGGGACCAGAAACUCUCGGAGCUGGGCGAGCGCGCCGACCAACUGGAGCAGGGUGCCUCUCAGUUCGAGCAGCAGGCGGGCAAGCUGAAGCGCAAGCAAUGGUGGGCCAACAUGAAGAUGAUGAUCAUUCUCGGAGUGAUCGCAGUGGUACUGCUCAUAAUCGUCCUAGUGUCGCUUUUCAAUUGAUCAAAACAUACACAAAAAUUAUCAAAUUCCGUUUUCUAUAUGUACAACAAAGCUAAGGUUCAUUUAUGUCAUUAUAUACACACACACGCACGUGUACAGUGUAGAUGUAUGCAUGUAUAUUGUAUAUUAUAUUAAGCUAAGCAACUCCAAAAAACUAAAGUCUCGGUCUGGCCAGAAAGCAGUGGCAGCAGCGGUGGAGGAGCCAAGUCCAUUACCGAACCCAAGACCGUUACGGAAACACCCCCUCACUAAGGUCGCGCUCCAUUCACUAACCAGAAAGCACAGAUAUGGAACACAGGAAACCAAAAUGGACCAACACAUCAGGGGCAUGGACAUGGACAGUGUGGCCUUCGCUUUGGCCAAAUCGCGCAAACAAAAGUUUAUUCAAUUAGAAAUGAAGAGAGGAAAAUCAAAAGGAACACUAUCUAAACAUACAUAUAUUUAACCAGGAUGUAAUUAUUAAAACCUAAUGUUAAACAAACAUUUUUCACGUAUUGUAACCCAGACCUGAGGCCUGUGUGUAGGGUGUAUGUAAUAUGUGUGCUCUGUAUAUGUAUUUGUAUAUCGUAUAAUUUGAAAUACACUAUGCCACAUACACUUUA